ensembl:snRNA LOC120095800 U4 spliceosomal RNA
AGCUUUGCGCAGUGGCAGUAUCGUAGCCAAUGAGGUUUAUCCGAGGCGCGAUUAUUGCUAAUUGAAACAUAAUAGGUUACACAGACAAUUAAUGGUAAAUCCUCUCAGCCCCUGCCCAAGGGU